rnacentral:rRNA from 1 species
AACACAUGCAAGUCGAACGGUGAAGCCAAGCUUGCUUGGUGGAUCAGUGGCGAACGGGUGAGUAACACGUGAGCAACCUGCCCUGGACUCUGGGAUAAGCGCUGGAAACGGUGUCUAAUACUGGAUAUGAGCCUCUUCCGCAUGGUGGGGGUUGGAAAGAUUUUUCGGUCUGGGAUGGGCUCGCGGCCUAUCAGCUUGUUGGUGAGGUAAUGGCUCACCAAGGCGUCGACGGGUAGCCGGCCUGAGAGGGUGACCGGCCACACUGGGACUGAGACACGGCCCAGACUCCUACGGGAGGCAGCAGUGGGGAAUAUUGCACAAUGGGCGGAAGCCUGAUGCAGCAACGCCGCGUGAGGGAUGACGGCCUUCGGGUUGUAAACCUCUUUUAGCAGGGAAGAAGCGGAAGUGACGGUACCUGCAGAAAAAGCGCCGGCUAACUACGUGCCAGCAGCCGCGGUAAU